rnacentral:rRNA from 1 species
ACUCCUACGGGAGGCAGCAGUAGGGAAUCUUCCGCAAUGGACGCAAGUCUGACGGAGCAACGCCGCGUGAGUGACGAAGGUUUUCGGAUCGUAAAACUCUGUUGUGAGGGAAGAACAAGUACCAAGUAACUACUGGUACCUUGACGGUACCUCACCAGA